rnacentral:rRNA from 1 species
UACGAAGGAUCCAAGCGUUGUCCGGAUUUACUGGGUUUAAAGGGUGCGUAGGCGGACUUUUUAAGUCAGUGGUGAAAGCUCGCAGCUUAACUGUGAAAUUGCCAUUGAAACUGAAAGUCUCGAGUGUGGUUGAGGUAACUGGAAUAUAUCAUGUAGCGGUGAAAUGCUUAGAUAUGAUAUAGAACACCAAUUGCGAAGGCAGGUUACUGAGCCACAACUGACGCUGAGGCACGAAAGCGUGGGGAUCAAACAGG